rnacentral:rRNA from 1 species
CCUACGGGGGGCAGCAGUGGGGAAUAUUGCACAAUGGAGGGAACUCUGAUGCAGCGACGCCGCGUGAGUGAAGAAGUAAUUCGUUAUGUAAAGCUCUAUCAGCAGGGAAGAAAGUGACGGUACCUGAAAAAGAAGCUCCGGCUAAAUACGUGCCAGCAGCCGCGGUAAUACGUAGGGGGCAAGCGUUAUCCGGAUUUACUGGGUGUAAAGGGAGCGCAGACGGCAGUGCAAGUCUGGAGUGAAAGCCCGGGGCCCAACCCCGGAACUGCUCUGGAAACUGUGCGGCUAGAGUACUGGAGGGGCAG